rnacentral:rRNA from 1 species
GUUAGGAAUAUUGGACAAUGGGCGCAAGCCUGAUCCAGCCAUGCCGCGUGAGUGAUGAAGGCCUUCGGGUUGUAAAGCUCUUUAGCCGAUGAUUAUAAUGACUGUAGUCGGAAAAUAAGCCCCGGCUAACUUCGUGCCAGCAGCCGCGGUAAUACGAAGGGGGCGAGCGUUAUUCGGAAUCACUGGGCGUAAAGCGUGCGGAGGCGGCUUUGCAAGUUGGGAGUGAAAGCCCAGGGCUCAACCCUGGAAUUGCUCUCAAAACUGCAAGGCUCGAAUUCGGGAGAGGAUAGCGGAAUUGUCAGUUUAGCAGUGAAAUGCUUAGAUAUUGACAGGAACACCAGUGGCGUAAGCGGCUAUCUGGACCGAUAUUGACGCUGAGGCACGAAAGCGUGGGGAUCAAACAGGAUUAGAAACCCCGGUAGUCC